UUGCUCUUAUAGUAUAAUUAGUACGCAAAAUUGCAAAUUUUGAAGUUUAAAGAGCUAA
rnacentral:tRNA from 1 species